rnacentral:rRNA from 1 species
UACGGGGGGGGCUAGCGUUGUUCUGAAUUACUGGGCGUAAAGGGCGCGUCGGCGGUCUGCUAAGUUGGAUGUGAAAACUCUGGGCUUAACCCAGAGCCUGCAUUCAAUACUGACAGGCUAGAGUUCUGGAGGGGAUAGCGGAAUUCCUGGUGUAGCGGUGAAAUGCGUAGAUAUCAGGAGGAACACCGGUGGCGAAGGCGGCUAUCUGGACAGAGUCUGACGCUGAGGCGCGAAAGCUAGGGGAGCAAACAGG